GACUGUAAGGAGAGUAUAAAUCCGUCCUCGCUGCAGCGGGACAGAAUUUCCUAUCCUGCUUGAACUGGCGGCUGUGCAAAAGAACCGGGCCAGAGGUGCAUGGCUCCCCUCGGAGGGGGGACAGCUCCAGCCAGGCAGCCUCCCAGUAUAGUUCUGCCGGAUCCUGGCGCCUCGCUCUUCCGUGGAGUGGGCGACAGGCCUAAGAAACCAGCCUCCUCGAGUUCUCGCACCAGUUUCACUAAUUUUAUGGAAGUGAACUUCUUUUCUGGAGGAGUGAGGGGGUUAGUGAGAGGAACAGACUCGAGCCCGCGUUGAAUUCCUCGUGUCUUCAAAACACUGAGCGACUUUGGAUGAGAGGAGAGCGUAUCUUGGUAUUUUUUCUAAAAGGUCGGGAGAAGGAAGGGGGCACGUGGGAGGUUAGAGGGUGCCAGUGUGCAGGUGUGACGCCUCUGCCGGUAAUUGAUGCUGUUUUCUCUACUUUGUGUGUAUUUGAAACUGCCAUUAAUGAAGUGUUUAUUCACUUGAAUAUCAACGUAACAGAAAGACCACGGGACCUCCAAAAUGAAAUGAAAACCUUGGGCCAAGAGGUCCUUCCCGUUCUCCACGCGCCCCAUGACCCUUGCCUAAACUCCAUGAGAAGUCAGUCUCCCUGGAGACCAGAUCUUACAAAGAUGCCGCUUCUCGGUCCACGCCGCUAGCGGCGUCAAUGAAAACCUAUCAAAAGGGUAAAUCCUUCGAGCCGGAUUCGAACCAGCGACCUAAGGAUGACCACAGUGAAGCAUCUACAGUCCUCCGCUCUACCAACUGAGCUAUCGAAGGAUUGGUGGUAGGGGUGGUUAGAAUACGUCUAAGAAUGUUUAUCCCCGUGGUUUUAAUCUUAAAAAUUACAAGCAAAUGCUUUUUCUAGGGUGCUAGAAAUGUUCUAAAACUGGUAGGAGUGGUAAUCAUAGAGGUAUAUUGAAAAAUUAAUACCCUUGAACACUUAA